AGGGAUAUAAUUAAUGUAUUUGCUUGUAUGUAUGUUUGUUUACUAAGUCCGUCCGUAGCGCGUCGACUGUCCAUGUAUAUAUUUCAUACUCCGAGUAAUGUAACUACCGCGUCCGCGUGUUGUAUUCUAUACUGUGAUGUUAUGUCUAUAGGUGUAUUGUGGUAUUCUGCUCGUUACGUAUGUUGAUAUGUUGGUAUACCAUACAGUUGUUCAUUGGUCAGUAGUGUUACGUCAAGUUGUGUAUGCGUUUUCAUUGGUUCGUUCUGGGUGGUCAGUUUUGGCGCGUGUUUCUUUGUGGGCAAAUAAAUCACGCUAGUACCUUUUGAGGACUCGUAGUUGACGGACGGAGAGAUGUAAUGUAAGUGUUUCUUUGUCUUUGUGUAAUACCCAACGUAUAUGUAUUAUGUGUUUUAUUUGAGAUAUAAUUCUAUUUGGAUCUAAUCUAAGUAUAGAUGAUUUGUUAUUCCUUUAAUAAGAAAUCAGAUAUGAUUAAUGUAUUUUUUUAUAUGAAAACGUAAUAAUGGAGGUGAUGUAAUUUGAUUUUUUGUAAGAGGCGUUAUUACGUUGUGCCCAUUUGACUAAGGUUCGAUAAAUUUAUUUAGAUGUCUUUUAUUUUAAUUACAGUAUAUCCGUAUUGCAUACGAUUGAAGAAGGCGUCGUAAUUAUACAAAUAGAUAGUAGCCAAGGCCUUGUGCCACACUCAGGGUUCUUUUGGUUUUUACAACGAGCAAUAAAAUGACAGUGAACAAAACCCAGAGGAGUUGUCCUAUGUCUCACAACAAAACCACCUCUACUACAAUGGAGCCUCCAGUGAGCUGUCAUAUUGAGUGAGUACGACGAUUCCGAUCUACUUGUCUACAAUCUCCGUUCGUCUUGACACUCGGAUCUUUCCGGAUAUUUCCGGGAUGAUUUACCUGUGAGCAUCACUGCGCAUGCUGUUUUCAGACCGUCGACUUCCUGUUUCCUGUUUCCGGUAAAAACAUCCGUUUUUCCGACAACGAUACUUUGUGAAUGUGACUUUUGGAGUUUUGGGACCUACGUGGACAUUGACAUUUGGUAAACUAUUGCUGCAUCGAAAAUAUUGACUGUAUUGAACAUUAUUUAGCUGUAAUUGUGCGUUUAAAUAUUUAGAAUAAUUAAUUAUCUUGUAAAAUUAUUUAUUUUCACUUUGCGUUUAUUUCUCAUGAUUAUUUUUCUGAAUUCCCUGUGUUGUGUUUACUUGCGUGUGUAUACAUGAGUACGUGUUGACAUAACAUGACUUGGACUUAGGUUGUAUUGUGCUUCGGUCAUCUAGUUCAGUGACAGUUGGGAGUUUGGAUUUGUGACUUGGAGUAUUUAUUCAUACACAUUAUAAGGUGAGUUGGGAGUGUUUUUUUUUUCAGUGGUUAUAAU